AAAAGAAUGAGUGUCAUGCCACGUUAACCAAGGGAACAAAAUUGUAAAUAUGGAGAGGAGAAACAGGUUUCCAAGUUUAUAUUGCUGCUAUCUUCUGGGGAUCAACUUCUGUUGUCACCAUAAUGUGUUAUGUUGAAGGGGCAGCCAGGGCUGUGGAGCGGCUGCUGGAGAGUCCCGUGAGAAUACCCAGGAAGCUCAGUGGCAGCGGAUGUUGGAUCAGCCUCACAAGUGAAAAUAAAUCCACAGCAUGGUCUCCGUUGACUUACCCGCGGGCCGGGACAAGUGGCGCCCAACGUGGGGCCAGAGAACGGGGGAUCCAGUGAAGGACGCUGCUCAGGGGCCCUAAGAUUAAGAUUGAGGAACAAAGAGCACACUCGACACGGGAGAGGCUUGCAAUUGACGUGGACCUGCCAUCUUUUUGCACCUCGGCCAACUCUUGAAGUCCUCGAGAGCAACCAUGAAAUGAAUCAUUUUUAUAUUCUCAAUGACAAGUAUAUGAUUUUAAAGUUUAUAAAAGAAAAGAAUGAAUGAAUUAGAACUUUGAAAGAUCAUCUCUUGGAUGACCUACCAAGGUCCCGAGUCCCACAGAACAUGUCGAAUUAGCCCACUGGAGACAGGCAGGUGUGUGCACGCCCUACUGAGGUCCCAAGUCACACAGAAGAUGACAAAUCACCCCACUGCAGACCAGCAGGUCUGCCCAUGCCCUACUGAGGUCCUGAGUGACACGGAACACGCCGAAUCACCCUGCUGCAGACAGGUAGCCACCUGGUUCCACACUACUAAGAUGCAGAGGACACCAGACCACCAGACCAAGGUACUGAGUCCUGCUGCUCCCGGCCCAGAGGUAGGGGCUUCUGAGCCGUCAUCCCACUGCUCCUGGUCCGGGGAAGGGGCUUCCUGGUCACCAUCCCUCCCACUGCUCCAAGCCCAAAGGAAAGGGCUUUUGGGCCACCUUCUGACCCACUUCUCCUGGCCCAGAGGAAGGGGCUUCCAGCCCACCAUCCCUCCCACCACUCCGGGCCCAGAGGUAGGGGCUUCUGAGCCACCAUCCCACUGCUUCUGGUCCAGAGGAAGGGGCUUCCCAGGCACCAUCCCUCCUGCUGCUCCCAGCCCACAGGAAAGGGCUUUUGGGUCACCAUCCCUACCGCUGCUCCUGGCCCCUGUCCCACCACUCACAGCUCAGAGGAG
rnacentral:lncRNA from 1 species